AUUGAACGCUGGCGGCAGGCCUAACACAUGCAAGUCGAACGGUAACAGGAAGAAGCUUGCUUCUUUGCUGACGAGUGGCGGACGGGUGAGUAAUGUCUGGGAAACUGCCUGAUGGAGGGGGAUAACUACUGGAAACGGUAGCUAAUACCGCAUAACGUCGCAAGACCAAAGAGGGGGACCUUCGGGCCUCUUGCCAUCGGAUGUGCCCAGAUGGGAUUAGCUAGUAGGUGGGGUAACGGCUCACCUAGGCGACGAUCCCUAGCUGGUCUGAGAGGAUGACCAGCCACACUGGAACUGAGACACGGUCCAGACUCCUACGGGAGGCAGCAGUGGGGAAUAUUGCACAAUGGGCGCAAGCCUGAUGCAGCCAUGCCGCGUGUAUGAAGAAGGCCUUCGGGUUGUAAAGUACUUUCAGCGGGGAGGAAGGGAGUAAAGUUAAUACCUUUGCUCAUUGACGUUACCCGCAGAAGAAGCACCGGCUAACUCCGUGUCAGCAGCCGCGGUAAUACGGAUGGCGCAAGCGUUAAUCCGAAUUACUGGGCGUAGGCGCACCCAGGCGGUUUGUUAAGUCAGAUGUGAAAUCCCCGGGCUCAACCUGGGAACUGCAUCUGAUACUGGCAAGCUUGAGUCUCGUAGAGGGGGGUAGAAUUCCAGGUGUAGCGGUGAAAUGCGUAGAGAUCUGGAGGAAUACCGGUGGCGAAGGCGGCCCCCUGGACGAAGACUGACGCUCAGGUGCGAAAGCGUGGGGAGCAAACAGGAUUAGAUACCCUGGUAGUCCACGCCGUAAACGAUGUCGACUUGGAGGUUGUGCCCUUGAGGCGUGGCUUCCGGAGCUAACGCGUUAAGUCGACCGCCUGGGGAGUACGGCCGCAAGGUUAAAACUCAAAUGAAUUGACGGGGGCCCGCACAAGCGGUGGAGCAUGUGGUUUAAUUCGAUGCAACGCGAAGAACCUUACCUGGUCUUGACAUCCACAGAACUUUCCAGAGAUGGAUUGGUGCCUUCGGGAACUGUGAGACAGGUGCUGCAUGGCUGUCGUCAGCUCGUGUUGUGAAAUGUUGGGUUAAGUCCCGCAACGAGCGCAACCCUUAUCUUUUGUUGCCAGCGGUCCGGCCGGGAACUCAAAGGAGACUGCCAGUGAUAAACUGGAGGAAGGUGGGGAUGACGUCAAGUCAUCAUGGCCCUUACGACCAGGGCUACACACGUGCUACAAUGGCGCAUACAAAGAGAAGCGACCUCGCGAGAGCAAGCGGACCUCAUAAAGUGCGUCGUAGUCCGGAUUGGAGUCUGCAACUCGACUCCAUGAAGUCGGAAUCGCUAGUAAUCGUGGAUCAGAAUGCCACGGUGAAUACGUUCCCGGGCCU
rnacentral:rRNA from 1 species